rnacentral:rRNA from 1 species
AUUGAACGCUGGCGGCAGGCCUAACACAUGCAAGUCGAGCGGAAGAAGGGAGCUUGCUCCUGGAUUCAGCGGCGGACGGGUGAGUAAUGCCUAGGAAUCUGCCUGGUAGUGGGGGAUAACGUCCGGAAACGGGCGCUAAUACCGCAUACGUCCUGAGGGAGAAAGGGGGGGAUCUUCGGACCUCACGCUAUCAGAUGAGCCUAGGUCGGAUUAGCGAGUUGGUGGGGUAAAGGCCUACCAAGGCGACGAUCCGUAACUGGUCUGAGAGGAUGAUCAGUCACACUGGAACUGAGACACGGUCCAGACUCCUACGGGAGGCAGCAGUGGGGAAUAUUGGACAAUGGGCGAAAGCCUGAUCCAGCCAUGCCGCGUGUGUGAAGAAGGUCUUCGGAUUGUAAAGCACUUUAAGUUGGGAGGUAGGGCAGUAAGUUAAUACCUUGCUGUUUUGACGUUACCAACAGAAUAAGCACCGGCUAACUUCGUG